GGGGCAUUCAUCUAGCCAGGUCCAGGAUUGCAGAUUCUCAAUCUGUCCACGCGGGUUCAAAUCCCGCAUGCCCUG
rnacentral:tRNA from 1 species